AUGUGCCCGACUCCUGAUGCCAUGGAUUGUAACGGAGGUCACUGUCUCAUUUAUCAGUUCUCGCCGAGGGUAUACCUGACAAACCUCCGUACCUUGAUGUUCUCCCCCAGGCCGGCGAUCGUCUCCUUAACGAGAUCCUUCACCGUCUUGCUGUCAUCCUUGAUGAAGGGCUGCUCCAGGAGGGCCAUCACUCCGAGCCUCUUUGAUAUCCGCCCUUCCACGAUCUUCUCCCUAAUGUUUUCGGGUUUCGACUGCAGGUCCUCCCUCUGCAUCUCAAUCUCCUUCUCCUUGCUGACAACACUCUCUGGUAUGUCCUCCAUUGAGACAUAUUCAACCUGUGGGCAUGCCACCACUUGCAUUGCGAGGUCAUUCACCAGCUCCUUGAAUUUCUCAUUGCGAGCCACAAAGUCGGUCUCAGAGUUGAUUUCAAUCAUGCACCCUAUGCGGUUGUCGUGGAUGUACGAGCCAAUCAGGCCUUCAGCGGUUAGGCGAGACGACUUCUUGUCUGCGGACGAGAGGCCCUUUUUUCUGAGGAACUCCUGA
rnacentral:rRNA from 1 species